rnacentral:lncRNA from 1 species
UUUCAAAAAUCCAGCGCUUCAACAACAGUUGCGCAGUCUACAACUUCAGGAUAUACAGCUUCAGAAACCACAACUGUACUUUCCACUCCAACCUCAGCAACAUCAGCUCCGACCACAUCUGAUUCUCCAGGUACAACAACGGUUAUAAAUUCAGAAACACUUGCUUCAACAACCAUGCCUACAUCUUCAGAAACGACAUCUGCAGCUGAAACAACAAAUACUGCAUCCACAACCACAACUGAGCCUUCCACUACUACAGCUGUAACCACAACAUCACUUGGACUCACAACAACUGAACUCACUACAACUUCAGAGAGUACAACAGCAGAAACCACGACUACAGCUUCAUCAACCACAUCUACAACAACAAACGAUCCAACAACAUCAACAGCCAUAACUUCAGAAUCCACAACUCUCACUUCAACAACAAUGCCUACAUCUUCAGAAACAACUGCACCUGUAACAACUUCAGUAACUACAGCAUCCUCAACUACUGAAAUUCCCACAACCACAGUUGUGAGUACAGAAACCACAUCUAUUACUUCAACAGUGGUGCUUACAACUUCAGAAAGAACAACAGCAGAAACCACGCCUACAGCUUCAUCAACCACAUCUACAACAACAAACGAUCCAACAACAUCAACAGCUGUAACUUCAGAAUCCACGACUCUCACUUCAACAACAAUGCCUAGAUCUUCAGAAACAACUGCACCUGUAACAACUUCAGUAACUACAGCAUCCUCAACUACUGAAAUUCCCACAACCACAGUUGUGAGUACAGAAACCACAUCUAUUACUUCAACAGUGGUGCUUACAACUUCAGAAAGAACAACAGCAGAAACCACGCCUACAGCUUCAUCAACCACAUCUACAACAACAAACGAUCCAACAACAUCAACAGCUGUAACUUCAGAAUCCACGACUCUCACUUCAACAACAAUGCCUAGAUCUUCAGAAACAACUGCACCUGUAACAACUUCAGUAACUACAGCAUCCUCAACUACUGAAAUUCCCACAACCACAGUUGUGAGUACAGAAACCACAUCUAUUACUUCAACAGUGGUGCUUACAACUUCAGAAAGAACAACAGCAGAAACCACGCCUACAGCUUCAUCAACCACAUCUACAACAACAAACGAUCCAACAACAUCAACAGCUGUAACUUCAGAAUCCACGACUCUCACUUCAACAACAAUGCCUAGAUCUUCAGAAACAACUGCACCUGUAACAACUUCAGUAACUACAGCAUCCUCAACUACUGAAAUUCCCACAACCACAGUUGUGAGUACAGAAACCACAUCUAUUACUUCAACAGUGGUGCUUACAACUUCAGAAAGAACAACAGCAGAAACCACGCCUACAGCUUCAUCAACCACAUCUACAACAACAAACGAUCCAACAACAUCAACAGCUGUAACUUCAGAAUCCACGACUCUCACUUCAACAACAAUGCCUAGAUCUUCAGAAACAACUGCACCUGUAACAACUUCAGUAACUACAGCAUCCUCAACUACUGAAAUUCCCACAACCACAGUUGUGAGUACAGAAACCACAUCUAUUACUUCAACAGUGGUGCUUACAACUUCAGAAAGAACAACAGCAGAAACCACGCCUACAGCUUCAUCAACCACAUCUACAACAACAAACGAUCCAACAACAUCAACAGCUGUAACUUCAGAAUCCACGACUCUCACUUCAACAACAAUGCCUAGAUCUUCAGAAACAACUGCACCUGUAACAACUUCAGUAACUACAGCAUCCUCAACUACUGAAAUUCCCACAACCACAGUUGUGAGUACAGAAACCACAUCUAUUACUUCAACAGUGGUGCUUACAACUUCAGAAAGAACAACAGCAGAAACCACGCCUACAGCUUCAUCAACCACAUCUACAACAACAAACGAUCCAACAACAUCAACAGCUGUAACUUCAGAAUCCACGACUCUCACUUCAACAACAAUGCCUAGAUCUUCAGAAACAACUGCACCUGUAACAACUUCAGUAACUACAGCAUCCUCAACUACUGAAAUUCCCACAACCACAGUUGUGAGUACAGAAACCACAUCUAUUACUUCAACAGUGGUGCUUACAACUUCAGAAAGAACAACAGCAGAAACCACGCCUACAGCUUCAUCAACCACAUCUACAACAACAAACGAUCCAACAACAUCAACAGCUGUAACUUCAGAAUCCACGACUCUCACUUCAACAACAAUGCCUAGAUCUUCAGAAACAACUGCACCUGUAACAACUUCAGUAACUACAGCAUCCUCAACUACUGAAAUUCCCACAACCACAGUUGUGAGUACAGAAACCACAUCUAUUACUUCAACAGUGGUGCUUACAACUUCAGAAAGAACAACAGCAGAAACCACGCCUACAGCUUCAUCAACCACAUCUACAACAACAAACGAUCCAACAACAUCAACAGCUGUAACUUCAGAAUCCACGACUCUCACUUCAACAACAAUGCCUAGAUCUUCAGAAACAACUGCACCUGUAACAACUUCAGUAACUACAGCAUCCUCAACUACUGAAAUUCCCACAACCACAGUUGUGAGUACAGAAACCACAUCUAUUACUUCAACAGUGGUGCUUACAACUUCAGAAAGAACAACAGCAGAAACCACGCCUACAGCUUCAUCAACCACAUCUACAACAACAAACGAUCCAACAACAUCAACAGCUGUAACUUCAGAAUCCACGACUCUCACUUCAACAACAAUGCCUAGAUCUUCAGAAACAACUGCACCUGUAACAACUUCAGUAACUACAGCAUCCUCAACUACUGAAAUUCCCACAACCACAGUUGUGAGUACAGAAACCACAUCUAUUACUUCAACAGUGGUGCUUACAACUUCAGAAAGUACAACAGCAGAAACCACGACUACAGCUUCAUUAACCACACCUCCAGCAACAAAGGAUCCAACAACAUCAACAGCUGUAACUUCAGAAUCCACGACUCUCACUUCAACAACAAUGCCUACAUCUACAGAAACAACUGCACCCGUAACAACUUCAGUAACUACAGCAUCCUCAACUACUGAAAUUCCCACAACCACAGUUGUGAGUACAGAAACAACAUCUAUUACUUCAACAGUGGUGCCUACAACUUCAGAAAGUACAACAGCAGAAACCACGACUACAGCUUCAUCAACAACACCUACAACAACAAACGAUCCAACAACAUCAACAGCUGUAACUUCAGAAUCCACAACUCUCACUUCAACAACAAUGCCUACAUCUUCAGAAACAACUACACCCGUAACAACUUCAGUAAUCACAGCCUCCUCAGCUACUGAAAUUCUCACAACCACAGUUGUGAGUACAGAAACAACAUCUAUUACUUCAACAGUGGUGCCUACAACUUCAGAAAGUGCAACAGCAGAAACCACGACUACAGCUUCAUCAACAACACCUACAACAUCAAACGAUCCAACAACAUCAACAGCUGUAACUUCAGAAUCCACAACUCUCACUUCAACAACAAUGCCUACAUCUUCAGAAACAACUACACCCGUAACAACUUCAGUAAUCACAGCCUCCUCAACUACUGAAAUUCCCACAACCACAGUUGUGAGUACAGACACAACACCAAUUACUUCAACAUUGGUGCCUACAACUUCAGAAAGUGCAACAGCAGAAACCACGACUACAGCUUCAUCAACAACACCUACAACAACAAACGAUCCAACAACAUCAACAGCUGUAACUUCAGAAUCCACAACUCUCACUUCAACAACAAUGCCUACAUCUACAGAAACAACUGCACCUGUAACAACUUCAGUAUCUACAGCAUUCUCAACUACUGAAAUUCCCACAACCACAGUUGUGAGUACAGACACAACACCAAUUACUUCAACAGUGGUGCCUACAACUUCAGAAAGUACAACAGCAGAAACCACGACUACAGCUUCAUCAACAACAUCAACAGCUGUCACUUCACAAUCCACAACUCUCCCUUCAACAACAUUGCCUACAUCUUCAGAACCAACUACACCCGUAACAACUUCAGUAUCUACAGCAUUCUCAACUACUGAAAUUCCCACAACCACAGUUGUGAGUACAGACACAACACCAAUUACUUCAACAGUGGUGCCUACAACUUCAGAAAGUACAACAGCAGAAACCACGACUACAGCUAUAUCAACCACACCUAUAACAAAUGAUCCAACAACAUCAACAGCUGUCACUUCACAAUCCACAACUCUCACUUCAACAACAAUGCCUACAUCUUCAGAAACAACUACACCCGUAACAGCUUCAGUAAUUACAGCCUCCUCAACUACUGAAAUUCCCACAACCACAGUUGUGAGUACAGAAACAACAUCUAUUACUUCAACAGUGGUGCCUACAAAUUCAGAGAGUACAACAGCAGAAACCACGACUACAGCUUCAUCAACAACACCUACAACAACAAACGACCCAACAACAUCAACAGCUGUAACUUCAGAAUCCACAACUCUCACUUCAACAACAAUGCCGACAACUACAGAAACAACUGCACCCGUAACAACUUCAGUAACUACAGCAUCCUCAACUACUGAAAUUCCCACAACCAAAGUUUUGAGUACAGAAACCACAUCAAUUAGUUCAACAGUAGUGCCUACAACUUCAGAGAGUAAAACAGCAGAAAUCACAACUACAGCUUCAUCAACCACACCUACAACAACAAACGAACCAACAACAUCAACAGCUGUAACUUCAGAAUCCACAACUCUCACUUCAACAACAAUGCCGACAACUACAGAAACAACUGCACCCGUAACAACUUCAGUAUCUACAGCAUCCUCAACUACUGAAAUUCCCACAACCACAGUUGUGAGUACAGAAACAACAUCUAUUACUUCAACAGUGGUGCCUACAACUUCAGAAAGUACAACAGCAGAAACCACGACUACAGCUUCAUCAACCGCACCUACAACAACAAACGAUCCAACAACAUCAACAGCUGUAACUUCAGAAUCCUCAACUCUCACUUCAACAGCAAUGCCUACAUCUACAGUAACAACUGCACCUUUAACAACAUCAGUAACUACAGAAUCCUCAACUACUGAAAUUCCCACUACCACAGUUGUGAGGACAGAAACCACACCAAUUACUUCAACAGUGGUGCCUACAACUUCAAAAAGUACAACAGCAGAAACCACGACUACAGCUUUAUCAACCACACCUACAACAACAAACGAUCCAACAAUAUCAACAGCCGUAACUUCAGAAUCCACAACUCUCACUUCAACAGUUAUACCUAUACCUUUAGAAACAGCUGCACCUGUAAAAUCAGUAACUACAGCAUCCUCAACUACUGAAAUUCCCACAACCACAGUUGUGAGUACAGAAACCACACAAAUUACUUCAACAGUGGUGCCUAUAACUUCAGAAAGUACAACAGCAGAAACCACGACUACAGCUUCAUUAACCACACCUACAGCAACAAAGGAUCCAACAACUUCAACAGCUGCAACUUCAGAAUCCACAACUCUCACUUCAACAACAAUACCUACAUCUACAGAAACAACUGCACCUGUAACAAAAUCAAUAACUACUGCAUCCUCAACUACUGAAAUUCCCACAACCACAGCUGUGAGUACAGAAACUACACAUAUUACUUCAACAGUGGUGCCUACAACUUCAGAGAGUACAACAGCGGAAACCAAGACUAGAGCUUCAUCAACCACAUCUACAACAACAAACUAUCCAACAACGCCAAUAGUUGUAACUUCAGAAUCCACAACUCUCACUUCAACAACAAUACCAACAUCUUCAGAAACAACUGCACCUUUAACAACAUCAGUAACUAAAGCAUCCUCAACUACUGAAAUUCCCACAACCACAAUUGUGAGUACAGAAACUACAGUUUCCUCAGCUACAGCUGUUCCUUCCACUGUUACAUCAACUUUAAUGUCAUCUGAAGUUCCGAGUACAACAACAUCUCAAACGACAUUGCCACUUGAAAUCACAUCUACUGGAGCUCUCACAUCCACUGUUGUGACUUCAGAAGCAACAACUUCUAUGUCUACAACAAUGCCUACAACAUCAGAAAGUACAACUACACCUGCAGCUUCCACAACCACAGUGGGGCCUUCCACCUCUGUGACUACAUCUUCCGAAACUACAACUGCAUCCUCGACAUCUGCGGCUUCCUCAACUAUGCCUUCUACUACUUCAUCAUCUCCAACCUCAUCUAAAUCUCCAGGUAUAACAACAAAUGAUCCAACAACAUCAACAGCUGUAACUUCAACAACAAUGGCUACAUCUUCAAAAACAUCUGCACCUGUAACGACAUCAGUAACUACAGCUUCCUCAACUACAACUGUAGCUUCAACAAUGACAACAGCAGCUUCUACAACCACAAAUCAACCUUCCACUAUGACAUCAGCUCCAACUUCAUCUGAUGCUCCAAGUUCAACAACAGCUCAAAUCACAAUGUCUAGUGCAGCUGCAACUACUGAAGUUGUGAGUCCAGAUACCACAACUGUUGCAUCAAAAACAAUUUCUACAAAUUCAGAAACGGCAAGUUCUCUUACAACAACCACAUCUACAGCUUUCGUCACCACAACUACAAUUACAGCAGAUAUCUCAGCUCCAGCUCCAAGCACAACAACAGCCACCAUUCCAAGUUCAACUGCAGCUCAAUCAACAACUGCAUUUCAAGUAACAACAGGAGGCCUUUUAAGAACAACUGUAGCUUUUACCAGCACAUCUUCUGCUCCAGCCACACUUGCACUUUCAACCAAAACAACUUCAAGCCCAAACAUAGAUUCAGAAACUACAACUGCAUCAACAACUACAACUGGAAUUAUUACAGGUCUCACCAGUGCAGCAGAAUUUCCAAUAGCUCCAAUAACAUCAGUUCCAAACACAAAUACGUCAACAUCCCCAGCAUCUACAACAGUCUUUCCAGGAACAACAACCAGUGUCUCUAUAACUGCUCCAAAUCUCAUAUCUGGUUCAGCAGUGGUCACAAGCAAGCUGGUGUUCAACUCCUCAUCUCCAGUCCCCAGUGAAUCUCUGGUCCUCAGUGCUAUCAAAACUCUCCGUAAUUCCAGAGAGUCACAGCUCAAGGAAUCAGUGAAGGUGGUGAAUGUCACCUAUGAGAAGAUCUCAGAAACCUCUUAUGCUGUGGUCUUUACAUUUAACGUGAUUAACAUCAGUAUUCCAGAGGACCCUGCAUCUAGAGGCAACACCAACCAGCAAGUGCAGGAUACCAUCAAUAAUGCGCUGAACACUCUUCUGAAUGAACCUGGUAGUCCAAAUUUACAACCCAAGUCCUCUAACUUCACGGGCACUUCAAUCCAGAUUAAUGGCAGGAUGGAAUACAGCUUCCAGGAUGGAGAUGUCAUACAACCAGUCAGCUUCCUCAAUGAGCUACGUCUACCAACCACUACAACAGUCUUUCCAGGAACAACAACCAGUGUCUCUAUUACUGCUCCAAAUCUCAUAUCUGGUUCAGCAGUGGUCACAAGCAAGCUGGUGUUCAACUCCUCAUCUCCAGUCCCCAGUGAAUCUCUGGUCCUCAGUGCUAUCAAAACUCUCCGUAAUUCCAGAGAGUCGCAGCUCAAUGAAUCGGUGUAG